CAGUCGCCGCGGUAAUACGAAGGGGGCUAGCGUUGUUCGGAUUUACUGGGCGUAAAGCGCACGUAGGCGGAUCGAUCAGUCAGGGGUGAAAUCCCAGAGCUCAACUCUGGAACUGCCUUUGAUACUGUCGAUCUGGAGUAUGGAAGAGGUGAGUGGAAUUCCGAGUGUAGGGGUGAAAUUCGUAGAUAUUCGGAGGAACACCAGUGGCGAAGGCGGCUCACUGGUCCAUUACUGACGCUGAGGUGCGAAAGCGUGGGGAGCAAACAGGAUUAGAUACCCCCGUAGUCCCUGUCUCUUAUCA
rnacentral:rRNA from 1 species